rnacentral:rRNA from 1 species
CCUACGGGAGGCAGCAGUGGGGAAUCUUGCGCAAUGGGCGAAAGCCUGACGCAGCAACGCCGCGUGCGGGAAGAAGGCUUUCGGGCUGUAAACCGCUUUCAGCAGGAACGAAAAUGACGGUACCUGCAGAAGAAGGAGCGGCCAACUAUGUGCCAGCAGCCGCGGUGAUACAUAGGCUUCAAGCGUUGUCCGGAUUUAUUGGGCGUAAAGAGUUCGUAGGCGGUCAAGUAAGUCGGGUGUGAAAAUUCUGGGCUCAACCCAGAGACGCCACCCGAUACUGCUUAACUUGAGUUCGAUAGGGGAGUGGGGAAUUCCUAGUGUAGCGGUGAAAUGCGCAGAUAUUAGGAGGAACACCGGUGGCGAAGGCGCCACUCUGGAUCGAUACUGACGCUGAGGAACGAAAGCAUGGGUAGCAAACAGGAUUAGAUACCCUGGUAGUCCAUGCCGUAAACGGUGGGGCACUAGGUGUGGGUUUCUAUUAACGAAAUCCGCGCCGUCGCUAACGCAUUAAGUGCCCCGCCUGGGGAGUACGGUCGCAAGCUAAAACUCAAAGGAAUUGACGG